GUGGCUAUGUUGCCUUCCAUGGCAAAACAGGCUUUGCAGCUGUGAUGGAAUCGAGGAUCCAGAUGUGGGGAGAUGAUCCCGGCUUAUCCAGGCUCAUUGGUGGAAGGGACUUGCCUUCUCUCAGAUGAGACUCUGGACUGUGGACUUUAGAAUUAAUGCUGGAAUGAGUUAACACUGGGCAACUGUUGAGAAGGGACGAUUGUACUUUGCAUUGUGAGAAGGACAUGAUUUGGGAGGGGCCAGGGGCAGAAUGAUAUGGUUUGGAUUUGUGUCACUGCCCAAUUCUCAUGUUGAAUUGUAACCCCCAAUGUUGGAGGAGGGGCCUGGUGGGAGGUGACUCAAUCAUGGGAAUGGAUUUCCUUCUUGCUGUUGUCAUGAUAGUUCUCAUGAGAUCUGGUUGUUUAAAAGUGUGUAGCACCUCCCCCUUCUCUCUCUCCCUCCUGCUCCAACCUAGUGAGACGUGACUCCUUCUUCACCUUCUGCUAUAACUGUAAGUUUCCUGAGGCCUCCCCAGCCAUGCUUCCUGUACAGCCUGUGGAACUGUCAGCCAAUUAAAC
rnacentral:lncRNA from 1 species